rnacentral:misc_RNA from 1 species
AGACUUAUUAUGACUUUGAUUAUUGAUUUGAGCAGUAAAAAAUGAGAUUUUGUUUCUCUUAUCUGAGAAUUUGUUUCUCCCCGAUUUGAGAACAUGUUUUUCUACCCUAUUUGUUCUUCAAAAUGUGUUUCUCUUGAUCAAUUCUUCCUAGUUCUGCAUCAUUCUAUUUAUCAAGUAUCUAGUUUUCCAUUGUAAUGUUGUAGGUUGAUGAAAUGCCUAGAAAUUCAUUUGCCUGAGUUUUGAAGAUAGAUUCUCAACUUAAAAUGCAAAACUGCUUGCUAUUAAAAAAUGAACCUGGAAACUCUACAUUGCCUUGAGACUUUUUGUGACAUGUUGUUUUAAAUGAGGCUAAAGGUUCAGGAUAAGUAAUUCAACAAAUAAUAAUUUCCAGGCAUUGACAGGUGGAGAGGAUG